GGUGGCUCAGUGGUAGAGUGCUUGUCUUGCGUACAUGAGGCCCUGGGUUCAAUUCCUCAGCACCA
rnacentral:tRNA from 1 species